GCCACUAUAGCUCAGUUGGUAGAGCAAUUGAUUUGUAAUCAAUAGGUCACGGGUUCGAAUCCUGUUAGUGGCUCCA
rnacentral:tRNA from 1 species